rnacentral:rRNA from 1 species
AGUGAACGCUGGCGGCAGGCCUAAUACAUGCAAGUCGAACGGCAGCACAGUGUAGCUUGCUCCAUGGGUGGCGCGUGGCGGACGGGUGUGGAAUACAUGGGAAUCUGCCCAGUCGUGGGGGAUAACGUAGGGAAACUUACGCUAAUACCGCAUGCGCCCUUCGGGGGAAAGCCGGGGACCUUCGGGCCUGGCGCGAUUGCAUGAGCCCAGGUUCGAUUAGCUAGUUGGCGGGGUAAAGGCCCACCAAGGCGACGAUCGAUAGCGGGUCUGAGAGGAGGAUCAGCAACACGGGGACUGAGACACGGCCCAGACUCCUACGGGAGGCAGCAGAAGGGAAUAUUGGACAAUGGGCGCAAGCCUGAUCCAGCCAUGCCGCGUGAGUGAAGAAGGCCCUCGGGUUUUAAAGCUCUUUUGUCCGGGAAGAAAAGCAUCGGGCUAAUACCUCGGUGUUCUGACGGUACCGGAAGAAUAAGCACCGGCUAACUUCGUG